GCAGCAGUGAGGAAUAUUGGACAAUGGAUGGAAAUCUGAUCCAGCCAUGCCGCGUGCAGGAAGACGGCCCUAUGGGUUGUAAACUGCUUUUGUAUGGGAGCAAUAAGAUCUACGUGUAGAUUGAUGAGAGUACCAUACGAAUAAGCACCGGCUAACUCCGUGCCAGCAGCCGCGGUAAUACGGAGGGUGCAAGCGUUAUCCGGAUUUAUUGGGUUUAAAGGGUGCGUAGGCGGUUUGAUAAGUCAGCGGUGAAAUAUUUCAGCUUAACUGGAAGGGUGCCGUUGAUACUGUCGAGCUUGAAUUUAGUUGCUGUGGGUGGAAUGUGUGGUGUAGCGGUGAAAUGCAUAGAUAUCACACAGAAUAUCGAUUGCGAAGGCAGCUCACAAAGCUAAUAUUGACGCUGAUGCACGAAAGUGUGGGGAUCAAACAGGAUUAGAUACCCUGGUAGUCCACACUGUAAACGAUGAUAACUCGCUGUCGGCGAUACACAGUCGGU
rnacentral:rRNA from 1 species